AUGGAGAGAUUGUACCAUGGAUGUGUGUCAUCAAGAACAAAUGAGUUUGUGGUUCGAUGUGUUCAUAUGUCUGUUGGAAAAAUACAAAUUAUGGAGUACUUCCUUGCUUUUUGGGUAGUGGAGGACACAUCUGGUUUGGAAAUUUUCAAGGUAUUGGUUGAUUCUAUGAAGUCCUUCGAUCUUAAUAUUGAUGAUAUUAGGGGCCAAGGUUAUGACAAUGCAUCCAACAUGAAAGGAAAAUACAAGGGGGCGCAAAGUCGGUUGCUUGAGAUUCAGUAA
rnacentral:rRNA from 1 species